rnacentral:lncRNA from 1 species
AGUCAACAGCCUCCAGGCUUAAUAGAUCCUGGUGGAACAAAAUAACAAGAGUAAUUUAUCAGGAUGUAAAGCCUACAGCGGGAAAUACCCUGUUCAUCAUAAAACUGUGAAAAGAGAGCUGAACUAAAGACUUAACGAGGACAUGGACAUCUGAGAAGAUGUGUGUGUGUGUGUGUGUGUGUGUGUGUGUCAGAACUAUUAGUAGGUUACGUUUCCCUUUAUGUAGACGACUCCGACCCAACUCCCAGCAGAUCAAUGUACUUUACAAAGUAUCUUAACAAAUGAUCGGCAGUGACGGAUCUUUUCUUUGUGCAGAAGAUAUCAAACUCCAACAAAGAUCAGUUUCCACCAACAACACAAAUGCUCCAGUGACAUCAUGGUCUCAAGUGCGGCUGGUGAACGGCAGGAGCCCGUGCGAGGGCCGUGUGGAGGUGCUCUAUAACAGCACUGGGGGACGG